CAAAAAGAUAUGCAGACAUAAUGGAAAUGGCAUUUACAUUGUAGAGAUUGGACAAAGUUCACACAGGCUCUGCGCAGGAAUUCAUCAAGGACAUGACUGCUGGGAUUACGCUUGUGGAUGACCAAACUGAGCACCAUCAGCCUGCAGUGAUGUGAUCCAGCCAUCAAGUGACAUUAAGGAUGUUGAGAAAGAAAUUGAAGAGGGCAUUCUGAUUGUAAC